rnacentral:rRNA from 1 species
GAUGAACGCUGGCGGCGUGCCUAAUACAUGCAAGUCGAGCGAACAGACGAGGAGCUUGCUCCUCUGACGUUAGCGGCGGACGGGUGAGUAACACGUGGAUAACCUACCUAUAAGACUGGGAUAACUUCGGGAAACCGUAGCUAAUACCGGAUAAUAUAUUGAACCGCAUGGUUCAAUAGUGAAAGACGGUUUUGCUGUCACUUAUAGAUGGAUCCGCGCCGCAUUAGCUAGUUGGUAAGGUAACGGCUUACCAAGGCAACGAUGCGUAGCCGACCUGAGAGGGUGAUCGGCCACACUGGAACUGAGACACGGUCCAGACUCCUACGGGAGGCAGCAGUAGGGAAUCUUCCGCAAUGGGCGAAAGCCUGACGGAGCAACGCCGCGUGAGUGAUGAAGGUCUUCGGAUCGUAAAACUCUGUUAUUAGGGAAGAACAAAUGUGUAAGUAACUAUGCACGUCUUGACGGUACCUUAUCAGAAAGCCACGGCUAACUACGUG